rnacentral:rRNA from 1 species
AUACGGAGGGUGCGAGCGUUAAUCGGAAUUACUGGGCGUAAAGGGUCCGUAGGCGGUCUGCUUAGUCUGAUGUGAAAGCCCCGGGCUUAACCUGGGAAUGGCAUUGGAUACUGGCGGACUAGAGUCUGGUAGAGGGUGGUGGGAUUCCCGGUGUAGCGGUGAAAUGCGUAGAUAUCGGGAGGAACACCAGUGGCGAAGGCGGCCACCUGGACCAAGACUGACGCUGAGGGACGAAAGCGUGGGGAGCAAACAGGAUUAGAAACCCUUGUAGUCC